rnacentral:sRNA from 1 species
GCUCGACGGGGAAGCGGUGCAUCGCCCCA